rnacentral:rRNA from 1 species
AGCAGCCGCGGUAAUUCCAGCUCCAAUAGCGUAUAUUAAAGUUGUUGCAGUUAAAAAGCUCGUAGUUGAAUUUCGGGGUUAGUAGGUUGGUCAUGCCUCUGGUAUGUACUGGUCUCACUGAUUCCUCCUUCCUGAUGAACCUUAAUGCCAUUUAUUUGGUGUUUUGGGGAAUUUGGACUGUUACUUUGAAAAAAUUAGAGUGUUUAAAGCAAGCUAACGCUUGAAUACAUUAGCAUGGAAUAAUGAAAUAGGACGUUCGAUCCUAUUUUGUUGGUUUCUAGGAUUGACGUAAUGAUUAAUAGGGAUAGUUGGGGGCAUUAGUAUUCAAUUGUCAGAGGUGAAAUUCUUGGAUUUAUUGAAGACUAACUACUGCGAAAGCAUUUGCCAAGGAUGUUUUCAUUAAUCAAGAACGAAAGUUAGGGGAUCGAAGACGAUCAGAUACCGUCGUAGUCUUAACCAUAAACUAUGCCGACUAGGGAUCGGAUGAUGUAAUUUUU